AAGGCUCGGUAAAGUUCAGCUAACGCAUUAGCGGUAGCAUUAGCGCUGGGUGGGCUGUAAACACUGAGUAUAAACACAGCCGUGAAUUUGUGUGAAAUGUAGAAUGGUCUGGAUUUAACAUUCACAAACUCCACCAGCAGUUAGCAGUAGUUGGAUAAAAGCACCCCAUUUCUGCACCAACAGUUAGCAGGAUACCA